rnacentral:rRNA from 1 species
ACGAACGCUGGCGGCGUGCUUCACACAUGCAAGUCGCACGGAAAGGCCCUGCUUUUGUGGGGUGCUCGCGUGGCGAACGGGUGAGUAACACGUGAGUAACCUGCCCUUGACUUUGGGAUAACUUCAGGAAACUGGGGCUAAUACCGGAUAGGAGCUCCUGCUGCAUGGUGGGGGUUGGAAAGUUUCGGCGGUUGGGGAUGGACUCGCGGCUUAUCAGCUUGUUGGUGGGGUAGUGGCUUACCAAGGCUUUGACGGGUAGCCGGCCUGAGAGGGUGACCGGCCACAUUGGGACUGAGAUACGGCCCAGACUCCUACGGGAGGCAGCAGUGGGGAAUAUUGCACAAUGGGCGGAAGCCUGAUGCAGCAACGCCGCGUGCGGGAUGACGGCCUUCGGGUUGUAAACCGCUUUCGCCUGUGACGAAGCGUGAGUGACGGUAAUGGGUAAAGAAGCACCGGCUAACUACGUG